UAGCUCAGUUGGUAGAGCAUGGUGUUUGCAGAGCAUGGUGUUUGCAACGCCAGGAUUGUGGGUUUGAUUCCCAC
rfam:Salmo salar isolate Sally breed double haploid chromosome ssa04, whole genome shotgun sequence.